rnacentral:rRNA from 1 species
UAAUACGGAGGGUGCAAGCGUUAAUCGGAAUUACUGGGCGUAAAGCGCACGCAGGCGGUUUGUUAAGUCAGAUGUGAAAUCCCCGAGCUUAACUUGGGAACUGCAUUUGAAACUGGCAAGCUAGAGUCUUGUAGAGGGGGGUAGAAUUCCAGGUGUAGCGGUGAAAUGCGUAGAGAUCUGGAGGAAUACCGGUGGCGAAGGCGGCCCCCUGGACAAAGACUGACUCUCAGGUGCGAAAGCGUGGGGAGCAAACAGGAUUAGAUACCCUGGUAGUCCACGCUGUAAACGAUGUCGACUUGGAGGUUGUGCCCUUGAGGCGUGGCUUCCGGAGCUAACGCGUUAAGUCGACCGCCUGGGGAGUACGGCCGCAAGGUUAAA